rnacentral:rRNA from 1 species
CUGCCUCUAUGAUGGGGAUAACAGUUGGAAACGACUGCUAAUACCGAAUACGCUCAUGAUGAACUUUGUGAGGAAAGGUGGCCUCUGCUUGCAAGCUAUCGCAUAGAGAUGAGUCCGCGUCCCAUUAGCUAGUUGGUGGGGUAACGGCCUACCAAGGCAACGAUGGGUAGCCGAUCUGAGAGGAUGAUCGGCCACACUGGAACUGAAACACGGUCCAA